CAACGGAUCUCUUGGUUCCGGCAUCGAUGAAGAACGCAGCGAAAUGCGAUACGUAAUGUGAAUUGCAGAAUUCAGUGAAUCAUCGAGUCUUUGAACGCACAUUGCGCCCCCUGGUAUUCCGGGGGGCAUGCCUGUCCGAGCGUCAUUGCUGCCCUCAAGCACGGCUUGUGUGUUGGGCCCCCGCCCCCCGGCUCCCGGGGGGCGGGCCCGAAAGGCAGCGGCGGCACCGCGUCCGGUCCUCGAGCGUAUGGGGCUUUGUCACCCGCUCUGUAGGCCCGGCCGGCGCCCGCCGGCGACCCCCCCUCAAUCUUUCCAGGUUGACCUCGGAUCAGGUAGGGAUACCCGCUGAACUUAA
rnacentral:misc_RNA from 1 species